GGAGGUGUCGCAUAGUGGCCAAUUGCACACGCUUGGAAAGCGUGAGUCUUAUGACUCCGUGGGUUCGAAUCCCUCCACCUCCG
rnacentral:tRNA from 1 species